rnacentral:rRNA from 1 species
UACGUAGGGGGCUAGCGUUGUCCGGAAUCAUUGGGCGUAAAGCGCGUGUAGGCGGUCCGGUAAGUCCGCUGUGAAAGUCGAGGGCUCAACCCUCGAAUGCCGGUGGAUACUGUCGGGCUUGAGUACGGGAGAGGCGAGUGGAAUUCCUGGUGUAGCGGUGAAAUGCGCAGAUAUCAGGAGGAACACCGAUUGCGAAGGCAGCUCGCUGGAACGUUACUGACGCUGAGACGCGAAAGCCAGGGGAGCAAACGGG